UGACAAGGAUGGUUGACAAAGGCCACUGGCCAUGUAGGCCAGUUCAGAAGAGGGUGCCUUCCUCCUCCCUAACUUGAACUCUUUCUUCCCUGGGCAGCUGGACACCCUGCCAGCUCUUCCCGCGAGGUGAGCGACGGCAAUGGACAGAGUGAAAAACGAGAGGAGGCGGAUGGCUUGGUUCUUUGGCGGGGCCAUUCUGCUUGGGCCUUAACUCGUUUUGUACAUUUACUUGAGGAAAACAGCAAGUAACGCCUGGCCCACGGAUGCCCAGCCCUCUCCUGUCCUGCGAGUGAACGGACAUGGCUUCCCCGCUGAGCGCCCCACAGUGAGGCGAAGCUCACGGGGUGACGCCUGCUCGCCCGUGAAUCUCACACGAGCCAGUCUUCAGAAGACUGUGGCGUGGCGUGGCUCCGAGCAGAGCACAGUGACCCAGUCGGGAAGUGGUCCCCAGCUACUAUUACGGGCAGUUAUGCCCUUUAUCUCAUCAGCCUUCACUGGCUCGUCUUCGCAAGGUUCCCUUCGCUUGCUGUUUGAAGCACGAGAAGCAAGGCGGUCUUGGUGCAUGUAAACCCUUGUUCAGUCUAAUUGCAAUAGACAGAAGAGCCAAAUUUGUUUCUUGU